AUUGAACGCUAGCGGGAUGCCUUACACAUGCAAGUCGAACGGAGUGGCGAACGGGUGCGUAAUGUAUCGGAACGUGCCCAGUAGCGGGGGAUAACUACGCGAAAGCGUAGCUAAUACCGCAUACUAUUGGAGCGGCCGAUAUCGGAUUAGCUAGUUGGUGGGGUAACGGCUAACCAAGGCGACGAUCCUUAGCUGGUUUGAGAGGACGACCAGCCAAACGGGGACGGAGACAGGGCCCAGAAUCUAACGGGAGGAAGCAGUGGGGAAUUUUGGAAAAUGGGGAAAACCCUGAGCCAGCCAUCCCGCGGGGGCGAUGAAGGCCUUCGGGUUGUAAAGCACUUUUGGCAGGAAAGCGGUACCUGCAGAAUAAGCACCGGCUAACUACGUGCCAGCAGCCGCGGUAAUAC
rnacentral:rRNA from 1 species